GCGAGGUCUGGCAAUGCGAGUAGUACGUGAUGCCGAACGUCACAUGAUCACAACUGAGCCAAUGGUUAGCAGUGAUUCCGUUAGUGAUAGUGAAAGUCAUCCUACACAACCCUCCUCUCCCAUCUGCCUCACACCAGCCAUGAAGAUUUUCAAAGCCCUGAAAACAGCCAGCUUCCCUCUUUAGCCACAUCUCGUAUUCUGGAUCUCACCAUCUGGCCAACAAUGCCAGUUGUUUCCGCUGUGAGCCAAACCUCUCUGUCCACUGUGCCUCCACUCUGUCUCCUCUGCUUGUAUGAUACCAACUUCUCUAAGAAGCUUUUCCU
rnacentral:lncRNA from 1 species